GGCCGACUGGUGUAGUGGUUAUCACGUCUCGUUCACAAAGUUGGACAUAGUUGGAAGUCUUCCACCGAGAAGGUGCCAGGUUCGAUCCCUGGGUCGGUCA